rnacentral:sRNA from 14 species
UAUUUGCUAAUUCCAUUAAAAUGAGAAAUGAUGUCGGAGAAUGAUAUCGGAGUUGACA